rnacentral:pre_miRNA from 1 species
GGACCAAAGGGCCUGAUUCAAAGCCCAUUUGAGUCAAUGGGAGUCUUUCCAUUGAUGUCAGAGUGUUUUGGAUCAGGCCCAAUAUAC